ACGACCUUAUAGAAAUAAAUCAUGAUAUUCAAAACUUGAAAUCAAAAAGCCAAUCAUUAAUUAAACAGAAUAACGUACAGGUAGCCAUCAAUGAAAGGAUUGAAAAGCAACUAAACGAGAUGACAGAAAGCUUCAACAAACAUCAAAAUGCAAUUGUAAAAGAACUUGUAAAAGCUAAAAAUAAUAGAUUAGAGAACCACAAUGUAACCCUUCUCAUGCAAACAUUCAAAAUUUCAUAUCAUUUAGAUCAAAUUGAGGACUUCUUAGAAUCAGUAUUUGAAACUAUUCAACUUGCUAAACUGAAAAUUAUUCCCAGAAACUUUCUAGAUAAGAGCGAGCUUAAACUUAUCAAGGACAAAUUAGAAGAACAACACGUAGAGUUCAUUAAUACAGAUCAGGUUUACGAGCUUUUAGAUAUCAUAUCAGUCUUCAAAGACAAAACAUUAUAUUUCAUCAUACUCAUACCCCAACUAGAACCUUCCAGCUUCAACCAACUACUCUUAGAGCCAGUACCUAUCAACGGUAGAACGAUGAAGAUACCUACAACAUCAGCACUAUUCGGAAUAAACUCAACGUUUUUCAUCAAAAGGGAUUGUCGAGCAAUCGAAACAAACACUUUAUGCAACCGGAACGACCUCAUGGAUGUUUCCACAGAUAACUGCUUUUCAAAAAUUCUAAGAGGAUACCCAGUAUCCUUUCAGUGCUCCUUGUUACCUCAUACAUCAUUAUCAGGAGACGUUCAACAACCAUUCCAAUAAUCGUAUCGGGACGAUACGAUCUUAAAGGGGGAGCAGUUACCAACCAACCCACCACGUCACAUCAAGUUGGCAACGAUAAAACACCAAACAUCCUACAAACACUAUUUGGCCCGAAUCAUCGAAAAGCAUCAACCCCAACAACCACGUGAGCGACCGGCAAACGCAUAACAGCCUACAGCACAUUUACCUUUUGACGAUAAACUGCGGCAUCAACAAAAUAACAUCCGGACAACGACGACAACAGUGAUCGACCCUUGGACAGGCUUCGGAAAGUGUAGGUCAGCUAGUUUCAAUUGCAUAGGUUAGCUCUAAGUAGAAUUGAAUAUAAUUAUCAUUCUUGGUUUAACAG